AUUGAACGCUGGCGGCAGGCCUAACACAUGCAAGUCGAGCGAGCGGCGGACGGGUGAGUAAUGUCUGGGAAACUGCCUGAUGGAGGGGGAUAACUACUGGCAACGGUAGCUAAUACAGCAUACCAUCAGAUGUGCCCAGAUGGGAUUAGCUGGUAGGUGGGGUCACGGCUCACCUAGGCGACGAUCCCUAGCUGGUGUGUGAGGAUGACCAGCGACACGGGAACUGUGACACUGUACAGACUCCUACGGGAGGCAGCAGUGGGGAAUAUUGCACAAUGUGCGCAAGCCUGAUGCAGCCAUGCCGCGUGUGUGAAGAGGGCCUUCGGGUUGUAAAGCACUGUCAGCGAGGAGGCGUUACCCGCAGAAGAAGCACCGGCUAACUCCGUGCCAGCAGCCGCGGUAAUAC
rnacentral:rRNA from 1 species